rnacentral:rRNA from 1 species
AGUGAACGCUGGCGGUAGGCCUAACACAUGCAAGUCGAACGGCAGCACAGUAAGAGCUUGCUCUUACGGGUGGCGAGUGGCGGACGGGUGAGGAAUACAUCGGAAUCUACUUUUUCGUGGGGGAUAACGUAGGGAAACUUACGCUAAUACCGCAUACGACCUACGGGUGAAAGCAGGGGAUCUUCGGACCUUGCGCGAUUGAAUGAGCCGAUGUCGGAUUAGCUAGUUGGCGGGGUAAAGGCCCACCAAGGCGACGAUCCGUAGCUGGUCUGAGAGGAUGAUCAGCCACACUGGAACUGAGAAACGGUCCAGACUCCUACGGGAGGCAGCAGUGGGGAAUAUUGGACAAUGGGCGCAAGCCUGAUCCAGCCAUACCGCGUGGGUGAAGAAGGCCUUCGGGUUGUAAAGCCCUUCUGUUGGGAAAGAAAAGCAGCAGGUUAAUACCCCGCUGUUCUGACGGUACCCAAAGAAUAAGCACCGGCUAACUUCGUG